CCUGGCUCUCUUUGGAAGUCAGAAUCCCUUCUUUGCAUGAAAAACUCGCCCCUUGAUCAGUGUCAUGCUCAAGUGGAUGGUCUCCAGAAGCAUGUAUUCGUCUGGAUCGGGCUGCAUUCAGACCAUUUCCGGAUUUAGUAACAAGACCUGCAAAGGGUGGGACUCACAGGAUCAGAGGCAAGUCUAAACGUCCAUCAUCAUCUGCUAGAGAGAGAAGUAGAUCCGCACGCCCACAUGCUGGGGCGGUAGCCAGCCUUCUAAGGAGGGAAACUCUGCCGUUUGGAACAGCUUGGGUGGACCUGGAGGACACUGCAAGAGAAAUAAGCCAGGAAGACAACUACUGCGUGAUCUCUCUUCAGUGUGGGAUCGAGAACAGAGCAGAUAAAGAUGGGGUCAGCCAACUUUCUGCUCCUGCCAUCUUGCCAUGCCUCCCUGGCCAUUAUGGACGUCCUUUGGACACUUCGCUAAGUUGCUUUCGGUCAGAGAGUUUAUCACACACAGCAACAGAAAAGUAACAAACGCAAUUACUACAUGGGAUGCGUCUCAGUGGCCAGGCCAGGCUCGGUUCAUGUUCACCAUCCUGCUGCCUCCAAGGCUCGAGCGCUGGGAUUUCAGGUGCGCACAGCAAGGGAGCCUUUAAGGCUUCCAAUACGGAAAAGGCAUUAAAUCAGGCGCCAGAGUCAGCAUGUGUCCAUUCCACUGCACUGCUAGGGCCGCACGCGCUGAUAUAGAAAGAACGGUUUACAGCAUCCGCAGAAGACAAGCACUUCGAAGGGACCUGCAGCCCUGGAAUGAACAACCCCCAAGGAAGAAAACCCCGCCAAACCGCUACCGUCAGCUUUCUUCUGCUGCAGAUCCGCCCCACCAGCACUCUGCCCUGAGUAAACGGAUCAUCAAAGUGUGGUCUCCAGGCCGGUAGCAUCUGCAUCAGAAACUUCGGGAGUCCGGCCCAGCCACUAAUGCAUACUCGGGACUGGCAACCACAGCAGCCGCCUGCAUCGUGCCGCCCGCCGGUGGUCACCGGAGUGCAGUGGACCCUGGCCCACAAUCAGAGUGGCAGACAGCCAAUACUCAGUUGUUUCUUGUGGUACCAAGAAAUGGCUCUGUGGAUGGAAGCAUGGGGUUUGGGUUCUCGCCUCUUCAGAGCAAAUUUGCCAAAUAGACCCGAAGACUCAGGAUGUGGAGCCGCAUGGCUUCGCCUACACACGUUUCCUUUGGAGGGAUGGAUGAGACUAGGUGUCCCAGGGUCUUCCCCAAAGGCACUACUGGGCCAUGGCCUUGACUAACCCCUCCUUCAAAAGCUCCAGACUGUCUCUGGGAGAGAGAGAGACAGAGAGAGAGAGAGAGAGACAGACAGACAGACAGACAGACAGACA